rnacentral:lncRNA from 1 species
CGAACACCGCGCGUCCGCCGCCGCUUUAAUGCUUUCUAGACAACUCAAGAACGAUUUCCAGGAUUUGUGAGAAGACGCGUGAUGCUGUGCUUUCUGCUCCUGACGCUCCUCUGGACGCUGGUCACUGCAGCGCUGCAGUCGUCCACAAACACUGCCGCAAGCCUGCAGGACGGUCACGAGGUCGUCUCAGAGGAAGAUGGGUCACCAUGGAGACCGGAGGAGAGGAAGGGC